GUUUAAGCUGUUUGGGCAGAUGGGUUUUGACAUUUAGAGGGGCGGAGGUGUCUGUUUGAGGUGCCUUGCGUUUUCCUGGAUUUCUUGACUUUAUUGAAGAUGGAACCUUGUUUUCUUCAUCGGUUUGGUGUGUACUGUGCGCCCUGCAGGCAGCCUUUGGAACUGGAUGAACAUUUGAGGUACCACGAGCGAUGACGGCCGCAGCGUCCGAGACUGGAAUUCCUGCAGAGCAGAUGAUGAAAGAGGAACGUGGCGACUGCAGGAAUGUCCUGGUUUGCUGAUGUGUUUUUUGUUGAGGAUGGAUUCAGACCGCUGGCCCUCUGAAAGCUAAAUGCAGAAGGACGAGCUGUGCGUCAAAGGGCAACGGAGGAGAGGCGAGCGGAGCGCCGUAAGAAGGGUGUGAAGCGAUGAGCAAAGCAGCAUAUCUGCACCGGAGCUGACUCGGGCAAGGUGAGCCACGCCUAGUGGGCUGAAGUAGCGGUUAUUUUUCAGGUGCCGUACCGUUGGUGAAGUUGUAAGCAUCCCUUGUUGUUUGUGUCUUACAGGUGGUACCCGAGCCUCAACGUGGCGACCUGUAAGCGGCAGAGGCAGGGCGGGCGAGCGGCCGAGGUGCCACACGUAGCCUCGGAGGGGCGAAGCCGCGUGCUGAUGAGCGGUCCGAGAAGGCAAAGGCGGUUGUCGGCCAGGUUGGUGCCCAAUAGCAAAGUAUUAUAUGGCAACUUAGUAAGCAUUUCUCUUUGGUUUUGCAGGUGCCGUGCGGGCCACCUUUGGAACUGGAUGAGCGUUUGAGGUACCGCAAGCGACGACGGCCACGGCGUCUGACUCUGGAAUGAGGAGAUGAUGAAGAGGAACCUGGUGACUGCAGGAACAUCCCAGUUAGCCGAUGUGGUUUUUGUUGAGGAUGGAUUCAAACCCCUGGCUCUCUGAAAGCUAAGUCGAAGG